rnacentral:rRNA from 1 species
UACCCGCUGAACUUAAGCAUAUCAAUAAGCGGAGGAAAAGAAACCAACAGGGAUUGCCUCAGUAACGGCGAGUGAAGCGGCAACAGCUCAAAUUUGAAAUCUGGCUCUUUCAGAGUCCGAGUUGUAAUUUGCAGAGGAUGCUUCGGGUUCGGCUCCGGUCUAAGUUCCUUGGAACAGGACGUCAUAGAGGGUGAGAAUCCCGUAUGUGACUGGCCACCACGCCCAUGUGAAGCUCCUUCGACGAGUCGAGUUGUUUGGGAAUGCAGCUCAAAAUGGGUGGUAAAUUUCAUCUAAGGCUAAAUAUUGGCCAGAGACCGAUAGCGCACAAGUAGAGUGAUCGAAAGAUGAAAAGCACUUUGGAAAGAGAGUCAAACAGUACGUGAAAUUGUUGAAAGGGAAGCGCUUGCAACCAGACUUGCCCGCGGGUGAUCAGCCGGUAUUCUUACCGGUGCACUCGCCCGUGGUCAGGCCAGCAUCGGUUUGGGCGGCUGGAUAAAUUCCACCGGAAUGUAGCUCCUCUCGGGGAGUGUUAUAGCCGGAGGUGCCAUGCAGCCCGCCCGGACCGAGGACCGCGCUUCGGCUAGGAUGCUGGCGAAAUGGUUGUAAGCGACCCGUCUUGAAACACGGA